rnacentral:rRNA from 1 species
CGCCUACGGGGGGCAGCAGUAGGGAAUUUUCGUCAAUGGGCGCAAGCCUGAACGAGCGAUGCCGCGUGAGUGAAGAAGGCCUUCGGGUCGUAAAGCUCUGUUGCGGGGGAAAAAAGGCAGCAUCAGGAAAUGGGUGCUGACUGAUGGUGCCCCGCCAGAAAGUCACGGCUAACUACGUGCCAGCAGCCGCGGUAAUACGUAGGUGGCGAGCGUUAUCCGGAAUGAUUGGGCGUAAAGGGUGCGCAGGCGGUCCUGCAAGUCUGGAGUGAAACGCCCCCCCCCCCCCCCCCC